rnacentral:tRNA from 1 species
UAAUCUGUAGCUUAAUUGGUAGAGCAGCCGACUAAUAAUCGGGGGCGUGCGUGGUUCGAGUCCCGCCAGAUUAU